rnacentral:rRNA from 1 species
UACAGAGGGGGCUAGCGUUAUUCGGAAUUAUUGGGCGUAAAGGGCGCGUAGGCGGCCAUGCGUGUCUUCCGUGAAAUCCCUCGGCUUAACUGAGGACGUGCGGAAGAAACUGCAAGGCUUGAGACCGGGAGAGGUGAGUGGAAUUCCCAGUGUAGCGGUGAAAUGCGUAGAUAUUGGGAGGAACACCAGUGGCGAAGGCGACUCACUGGACCGGAACUGACGCUGAGGCGCGAAAGCGUGGGGAGCAAACAGG